UAGAGAGAGACUCCAUCUCAAAAAAAAAAAAAGAAAAAAAAAAUCUAGAAUAUCUCCAAAGGUGUAGUUCAGAGAAAAAAUUCAAGAUAAGAAAUGAGAAGCUGUGCAUGGAAAGGAAAAGAAUCAAUAAAUGGCAAAAGUUCCACAAGUAUUAAACCAAAAAGGACUUGCUCCCAAAGCCUAGAAUUGAACCCAAGCCACCCACCACUGUGGGAGGGCAAAGCCUUUGCAACUGACCUGCAGUACAAGGUGACUGCUGUUGUCUUUCCCAGAAGGAGUCUAGAGCAUUUUCAAGCUUGCAAAGGAUUUUAACUGCUCAAGAGAAUUUUCUAAGACUAACCACGUCAUUAUUAUGCAUCCUUCUUUUAAUUUAACCUUUUUCUUUCAUUGAGGUAAUCAGUUCCAAUAGUGACUCAAUCUAAGAAACCUAUUAAAGUCUAGAACGUAAUUUUCCAGUUUUUUUUUUUUUUUCCUUUCUUUUUACAUUAGAAGCAAAAGGUAUCUAGGGUAGAAGAGGCAUCUCCAUGAUCCCCAAGAAUUCACUCUCAGAAAUGGGCUUAAGAUAGCAAAAGAUGACAAAAGCCCUAUAGAGAUGGGACCUUUUCAGACAAAACUCACCCAAGGGCUUGACAAAUAUUUGGGAUGAAGAAUGUGCUGACUCAUCUCAGACUCCCAGCACUUUCAGACUGGGUGCCUGACAUGAACUUGAAAAUUCUUGUUCUCUGGAUGGUGGAGACCAAGAGAGCGUAUCCCCACAUGGUCACAAAGUCAUGCUUUCAAGGAUGUAAAACAAGAUUAGAGGGAAGCCUCAUUUAGUUUUUGUUUCAGAGACCCACAGCAAAGUUUAUAACUGACCCAUCGAGAAGUACACCAGAAUCAUUGCAACCUCAGAGUAACCUCUCACAGGUCCUUUUUCUUAUUAAUCAACAGUGAUUUUUACCAUUCACUUAUCUGAUUUGCUCAGAGAGAGAGAGAGGCCAGAAGCCUCACCGGUAGGAAAUUCUUACCUUUUGUCAGCACGGCAGGUUUCUGAUUUCCCUUUCCCUGAGCGGCCCUGGCAGUGUUGCUCACCGCACCAUAGUCACAAAGGAAAAUUACUUUUGUGUGUUUCAUGGAACCAUAGGCAAAAACUUCUCGACUUUGUCAGAUGUCACCCAAUAGGCUGUACGGGGGAGCGAGGGAGAGGGGCGAGAGACCACCAAAUUAACAUUCUUUAUCUCAACCUGGUGAAACACAUAUAACAAAACAGACAGUAGUCACUUUGCUCAGCACCUAAUACUGACUUGUCAAGGCUCAAACUUUUUCCAGUGCGUCCCUGUCAUCUUUGAUCCACUCAACGUAGGGAGCGAUGACCUCUGACUGGGAAUUCAUUGGGUGAUGUCUGGACAAUGUGAAGAGCAGACAGUCACCCCAGGUCAAACCUGUUGAACUUCCUUCACUGCUCAGCUAAUGUGAUCAAAUAAGGAAGGUUCUCCAAGUUAGGUCUGCUGGACUUCCAUCACCAAUUCCUUUAGAGAUCCCCUCUAGAUGUACAAACACACACAUACAACAAAGACAAGAUGGACAGAAGGUCUCCCAAACCAAGAUUCCUAAGCAGGAAUUCCAAGAGUAUGCUUUUCAAAGUAACCUAUUCUCUGAGAAAUCUCCCUGAAAUCUUCCUUAUUGAGGAGAAGUCUCCCCAACCAAGACUCUUCAUACUAAUUAGGGAGAGCCAAUCUUGAUCCCCGAAGGGGCCAAACUUAGAUCCCUUAAGAAGCCAAACCAAGUAGGAGAAGGAAGGAGGCAUUGGCACCACCUAGAAUACCCACCAGACCAGUUUAGAGAUGUCUUUACAGGAACAAUUUCUCUACUGCAAUUAAAUCCAUGCACCAUGGGCCAGCAGUGUGUUGCUGGUAGAGAUAGUGCCAGCGUCAGCCCCCAGUCCAGGAGAACUAUGCAGCCACUUGGGCUGGCCUCUGGAUCUGUUGCUGGUGGGGGACUGCCAAACCGUGGGCAGGUAGCCACAAGGGUGAUCCCAGACAAGCCUCCAAAUUUGUAACCAUCCAGGGGUUCUUCCUGCCCACUGCAUAAAGACAGACCAUGGUAUUGUAGUAGAGAAAAAGUUCAAUAGACACAAGGUCAGCCACCCCAUGUGGGAGUUGGAGUUCAUACUCAAAUCAUCUCCUUUAAAGCUUGUAGGUUAGGGGUUUUUUAAAGGCAGUUUGGAGGAAGGGGUGGGGUGGCCAGGUAGCAGGUACUUGCGGCUGAUUAGGUGGGGUAGAAAUCAUAGGGGGUUGAAGCUGUCCUCCUGGGGCCAAAUCGCUUCUGGAUGGGGCUACAGGAGUGGGUUGUCAGUCCAGGUGGAGCCAAGGGUGUCAGACAUGCAAAAAACCUGGAAAGAUAUCUCAAAAUGCCAGUGUACAAUAGUGGUGUUAUUUGCAAUCGGGAAAGUUUCAUUUCUUGUAACCUCCAGAAUAAUGUCUGCGCCUUAGCAGGACUCAAACUCCUCUCCUCGUUUCAGCCUGAUGGCUUCCUUUUAGCUUUACAAAAGCAGUUGAGUUUUGGGCAAGGCCUAUUAUCAUUUAAACUGUAGCCUGGGCCACCAAGACUGUGUCCACCCUGCAAGCACAGAGCCUCACCCUCACCACUCCACCGCCCAUCCACACCCGCCGCCGGUUCACCAUGGAUGAUGAUAUUGCUGCGCUUGUCAUCAACAACAGCUCCAGCAUGUGCAAGGUCUGCUUCGCGGGCAACAAUGUCCUGGGCUGUCUUCCCCUCCAUCAUACGGCACCCAAGGCACCAGGGCGUGAUGAAGGGCAUGAGUCAGAAGGACUCCUAUGUGGGUGACAAGGCUCAGAGCAAGAGAGGUAUCGUGACCCUGAAGUACCACGUCAAGCAUGGCAUCGUCACCAACUGGGAUGACAUGGAGAAGAUCUGGCACCACACCUUCUACAACAAGCUGCAUGUGGCUCCCGAGGAGCACCCUGUGCUGCUGACUGAGACCCCCCUGAAUCCAAGGCCAACCACAAGAAGAUGACCCAGAUCAUGUUUGAGACCUUCAACACCCCAACCAUGUAUGUGGCCAUCCAGGCCAUGCUGUCCCUGUACACCUCUGGCCGUACCACUGGCAUCGUGAUGGACUCCAGUGAUGGGGUCACCCACACUGUGCCCAUCUACAAGGGUUAUGCUUUCCCCCAUGCCAUCCUGUGUCUGGACAUGACUGGCCGGGACCUUACUGACUACCUCAUGAAAGAUCCUCACCGAGCACAGCUACAGCUUUACCACCGUGGUCGAGUGGGAAAUCGUGUGUGACAUCAAGGAGAAGCUAUGCUAUGUUGCCCAGGACUUUGAGCAGGAGAUGGCCAUGACGGCCUCCAGGCCUCCCUGGAGAAGGGCUAUGAGCUGUCCAAUGGCUAGGUCAUCACCAUUGGCAAUGAGCUCUCCCACUGCCCCGAGGCGCUCUUCCAGCCUUCCUUCCUGGGCAUGGAAUGCUGUGACAUCCACAAAACUACCUUCAUGAAAUGUGACAUGGACAUCCGCAAAGACCUGUAUGCCAACACAGUUUUGUUUGGUGGCAACAACAUGUACCCUGGCACUGCCAACAGGAUGCAGAAGGAGAGCAUCACUCUGGUGCCCAGCAUGAUGAAGAUCAAGAUCAUUGCUCCUCCCGAGAGCGCAAAUACUUCAUGUGGAUGGGCGGCUCUAUCUUGGCCUUGCUGUCCACCUGCCAGCAGAUGUGGAUCAGCAAGCAGGAGUGCGGUGAGUCCGGCCUCUCCAUCGUUCACCACAAAUGCUUCUAGACGGAGUGUUACUUAGUUGCGUUACACCCUUUCUUGACAAAACCUGACUUGUGCAGAAAACAAGAUGAGAUUGUCAUGGCUUUAUUUGUUUUUUUGUUUUUGGUGGUGAUUUUUUUUUUUUUUUUUGGCUAGCCUCAGGAUUUAAAAACUGGAACAGUGAAGGUGACAGCAGUCAGCUGGAGCGAGCAUCCCCCAAAGUUUUACAAUGUGGCCGAGGACUUUGAUUGUACAUUGUUCUUUUUUCUAAUAGUCAUUCCAAAUAUUGUGAAAUGCAUUGCUACAGGAACUCCCCUGCCCUCCUAAAAGUCACCCCACUUCUCUCUAAGGAGAAUGGCCCAGUCCUCUCCCAAGUCCACACAGGGGAGGUAAUAGCAUUGCUUUCAUGUAAAUUGUGUAAUGCAAAAUUUUUUAAUCUUCGCCUUAAUACUUUUUUGUUUUACUUUGAAUGAUCAGCCUUCGUGGCCCCCCUUUUUUGUCCCCCAACUUGAGAUGUACGAAGGCUUUUGGUCACCCUUGGAGUGGGUGGAGGCAGCCAGGGCUUACCUGUACACUGACUUGAGACCAGUUGAAUAAAA